GUGAGGAAUAUUGGUCAAUGGAGGCAACUCUGAACCAGCCAUGCCGCGUGCAGGAUGACGGUCCUAUGGAUUGUAAACUGCUUUUGUACGGGAAGAAAACAAACUACGCGUAGUUAAUUGACGGUACCGUAAGAAUAAGGAUCGGCUAACUCCGUGCCAGCAGCCGCGGUAAUACGGAGGAUCCAAGCGUUAUCCGGAAUCAUUGGGUUUAAAGGGUCCGUAGGCGGCCUUAUAAGUCAGUGGUGAAAGUUUUUGGCUUAACCAAAAAAUUGCCAUUGAUACUGUAGGGCUUGAAUGUCUGUGAAGUAACUAGAAUAUGUAGUGUAGCGGUGAAAUGCUUAGAUAUUACAUGGAAUACCGAUUGCGAAGGCAGGUUACUAACAGAUGAUUGACGCUGAUGGACGAAAGCGUGGGUAGCGAACAGGAUUAGAAACCCCUGUAGUCC
rnacentral:rRNA from 1 species